UUGGAAUGAUGGGAAUGUAAAACCCUUCCAGAGUAACAAUUGGAGGGCAAGUCUGGUGCCAGCAGCCGCGGUAAUUCCAGCUCCAAUAGUGUAUAUUAGAGUUGUUGCAGUUAAAAAGCUCGUAGUUGGAUUUCUGUCCGGGUGAGUCGGCAGCGCCCGUAUGGGUGUUUGCAUGCACUGACCGGGGCUUUCUUCCGGUAGCCUCCCGCGCUUCACUGCGUGCGGCGGUGUUCUGGAACUUUUACUUUGAUAAAAAUAAAGUGUUGCAAGCAGGCUUGUCGCCCUGAAUACUGCAGCAUGGAAGAAUAAGAUAAGACCACGGUUCUAUUUUGUUGGUUUUUGGAA
rnacentral:rRNA from 1 species